AGUGGUGGAUACCAGGCUGCCAAUAAUACAGGUUCAACUAAAGCUUGAGGCUAUUCGACAACUCUUGGAACGGGGUUGUGAGAAAAAAAAUGAGGUGGUUGCGUUGAGAAACAGAUUAAAAUCAUCAAUGUCCGAAUUGGUUCAACUUUACCUACAUGAGUGACAAAUGCCGAAAGGGCGUCUCUCGCCUAAACGGAAACUUUUGGUGUGGCGCAUGUGAAACCCCCCGAGACCUUUGUAUGUGUUGGGUAGUUUAGUUUGAGCAACCAACACCUUUGUAACCAGCAGCCGCCAGGACGAUUGUGUUGACUUAAUUGAUGAUGUGCAAGAUGAAGCCAGGGAGGCGCCCCGUUCUUCCAAAAAAUGAAGGUCCACUGUUGAUUCCGGGUCCGAGACAGAAGAAGUGCUUGAGCCAGCAGCUUGAAUGAACUACACAGAGUCAAGGAGUGAGGGCUGAAGUAUGGAGUUGUAUAACAUGUUAUGAGCUGUCCUUAUAUGUUUACAUUUUCCUUGAACCAGACAUUUAUAUUUCAGUUUUCUUCAAAUAAUUAGCAAGUUAUGUUUUGCCAUGUAUGGCAUCAAACCACUUUUUGUUAUGUUUUUGCUGGAUUCUAUUUUCUAUUAUUACCGAAAUUUGUGGUUGCCCUUUAUAGCAUACCAAUCUUCAUUUGGGUUUUGUUGCUAUACUUUUCCCGGGCUUC